AACUAAGAAGCUGAGGGAUGAAUGCAUUGUGGAGCACGGUGAAUCCGCGUGUGAGAAAUGGAUUGAAGCUCAUCGUAAAUGUCUUCGAGCUGAAGGCUUCAAGGUUUGAUAUUUAGUGAUAGAAGCAGAUUUCUAACUAAAAAAGACAAACGAAGAUACAAUUUUUUUGUAUAAUGCCCAGUUUGUUUUUGAGACCAUACAAGCUCUCAAUUGCCUAAUGUUUACAGAUAAUUUAUACAGAGGAAUUUUGUUCAUCCAAAGUUCAGG
rnacentral:misc_RNA from 1 species